GAUGAAGCACCUUCGGGUGUGAAUUAGCGGCGAACGGGUGAGGAACACGUGAGAAAUCUGCCUUCAACACUGGGAUAACUCCGGGAAACCGGGGCUAAUACCGGAUAUGAAACCUGCGGGCAUCCGCGGGUUUGGAAAGUUUUUCGGUUGAAGAUGAUCUCGCGGCCUAUCAGCUUGUUGGUGAGGUAAUGGCUCACCAAGGCGACGACGGGUAGCCGGCCUGAGAGGGCGACCGGCCACACUGGGACUGAGACACGGCCCAGACUCCUACGGGAGGCAGCAGUGGGGAAUAUUGGGCAAUGGAGGAAACUCUGACCCAGCGACGCCGCGUGCGGGAUGAAGGCCUUCGGGUUGUAAACCGCUUUCAGCAGGGAAGAAGCGAAAGUGACGGUACCUGCAGAAGAAGCACCGGCUAACUAUGUGCCAGCAGCCGCGGUAAUACAUAGGGUGCAAGCGUUGUCCGGAAUUAUUGGGCGUAAAGAGCUCGUAGGUGGUUCGUCACGUCGGAUGUGAAACUCUGGGGCUUAACCCCAGACCUGCAUUCGAUACGGGCGAGCUUGAGUAUGGUAGGGGAGUCUGGAAUUCCUGGUGUAGCGGUGGAAUGCGCAGAUAUCAGGAGGAACACCAAUGGCGAAGGCAGGACUCUGGGCCAUUACUGACACUGAGGAGCGAAAGCGUGGGGAGCGAACAGGAUUAGAUACCCUGGUAGUCCACGCCGUAAACGGUGGGCACUAGUUGUGGGGACCUCCCACGGUCUCUGCGACGCAGCUAACGCAUUAAGUGCCCCGCCUGGGGAGUACGAUCGCAAGAUUAAAACUCAAAGGAAUUGACGGGGCCCCGCACAAGCAGCGGAGCAUGCGGCUUAAUUCGACGCAACGCGAAGAACCUUACCAAGGCUUGACAUAUACAGGAAUAUGGCAGAGAUGUCAUAGCCGCAAGGUCUGUAUACAGGUGGUGCAUGGUUGUCGUCAGCUCGUGUC
rnacentral:rRNA from 1 species